rnacentral:ncRNA from 1 species
CCUAGCUCUGACGAGCUAGGCUAAGUUAAUACGUACUUACAGCACU